rnacentral:rRNA from 1 species
GGACAGAAAGACCCUAUGAAGCUUUACUGUAACUUGAGAUUGAAAUUGGACUUUAUUUGCGCAGUAUAGGUGGGAGGCUUUGAAGAUAUUCUUGAGGGAAUAUUGGAGCCAUCAGUGAGAUACCACUCUUGUAAUGUUAGAUUUCUAACUUUGUAUCAUUAUCUGGUCAAAGAACAGUUUCAGGCGGGCAGUUUGACUGGGGCGGUCGCCUCCUAAAUGGUAACGGAGGCGCACAAAGGUUUCCUCUGAACGGGUAGAAAUCGUAUCUAGAGUGUAAAGGCAUAAGGAAGCUUGACUGUGAGACCUACAAGUCGAGCAGGGACGAAAGUCGGUCUUAGUGAUCUGACGGUGCUGAGUGGAAAGGCCGUCACUCAACGGAUAAAAGUUACUCUAGGGAUAACAGGCUGA